UGUGCGCUUUUCUGAAUGUCUUUAAAUCUCAUUCUUCCCAGAAAAAGUAAACAUCUAUCUAAAAUCGGACGAAGGGACAUAUAUUCUAACCGAGCAGCGUCCAGCAAAGUUGUCGUUUUGCUCCAUCGUACAGAAGAUUAAUGAUGCCUCACAAACUGUAGGCAAAGAUGAAAAGUUUCAAACGUUCAUUUGUCUUGGUGUAAGGGAUCAUUCACUGGAAAAGUGGUUUCCUUUGAUCUCUAUUUGUCCUGUCACAACCAAUAUGUACGAACAGAAUUAGUGAACGUACUUGGGUCGCUGGCUGAAUACAAUAUAGUUCUAGAGGCGUCUCUCUUGAAAGGAUUAUCCUGAUAAUAUUAUGUCCUUGGCAAGUUGUGUACCAUUUUGCCACACGGAGUGAAAAGUAUCCAUCAUUGGUGGCUGUGUUGGUCAAAACAAGAAAAGAAUUUGCAAGCGUUCCUUUGGGGUAGUAACCAUGAAGUUAAUUAUGUCGAACACUGCGAAGACACUCGAAAAAUCGGAAACAGAAGAAACACACUUUAUGCAUCGUUUAUGUUAUACAGUGGUAGGAAAUUGUUAUGCAUUAAUGGGGUUUUUUAUUACAUAGUAUUGAUGAAAUGAGA